CUGAUGUAUGAGCUGCACAGAAAGUUCACCAAACCACCCAAAGCCAUUGCCAUAGGCAUCUGAACUGCAAGCCAGCACAAGAAGUCGAUGCUUUCAUACACUUUCCAAGAUGUCAGAACAAGGUUCCAAAUCAUAAUAAGAAUUCACUCCUUACCUAGAAGUAAAAAAAGAGGACACACUUUUGAACCGCUCACAUGACCACACCAUUCUGCGGGGACGUCCUUGUGUUGAGGGGAGGUCUGAAGUCCAUGGAAGAAGACGCAGUGGCUGCUGGAGCUCGUGCAGAGGAAGGGACCCUCAGAAGGACAGGUGAACUGUCGGUGGCAGGAAAAAUGGUGGGCACAUUUCCAGAAUGACAAAUGGGAGAAGCAAUCGUGACAUCUCCAGGUGGGGGAAGCAUAGGAGGAAGAGGUUGUUCUCUCAGGAAGUUGCCUCCUAGCCUCCAACGAGGCCUUUCCUAUCAC
rnacentral:lncRNA from 1 species